rnacentral:lncRNA from 1 species
UGUUAUAUUUUUAAGAAUUUAGUCAAAAUUGAUCCUGUGUAUACCCUUCUUCCCAACCGUGCUUGAGAACUACUGUAUUACAUAGUUGACGUGUUACGUAGAUGUGUAGCUGAACCUGUGCUGGAGGCCGAGACUUUGCCCGAAAACUCCAUGGAUGGUCGGAGGACGUGAUCCCAGGAGAACAAAGUUGUCUGGUCUUUAUCGCCAAAGCUUCUCUCUGAGUCGCGAGUUGUAGCAUGCCCGCACCCGACCUCAAAAACCUGCAAAACAAAACAGGGGAAGAUAAAAGUAGGGGGAGCACGAACUGAGAGGGAGAGGAUUGGGCCGUGGCCGGUUACCAGAUCGGCGCCACGUCGGCCUGACGAUACGAGCCCAACGGCGGCGACCCCUGGGAUGCCAGGAGCUCAAGCCCACGCCCUCCUCGACGGUCGAAGGCGAAGCUGCUUCGAAUCCUUUGGUCGCCCGCUUCGGCGGGCUCGGUCCAUCGCGAGUGGCAGGCUGCAGAGGGAACAAAGCGCCAUCGAUGGUGACGGAUUUGGAUGCCGAUCUCACAAAGCGCCGGAUUCGGUAGCGAGACUGUGGAGGCGAGCAGAUCGGGAGGAGUAGGGCCAGGGCAAAGGGUUGGCGUGGGUUCGUUUGGGAGCGAGAGAGAGCGAGAUCGCGUUGACUCACGUUCAGUUUUUUUUUUCAGCGGAAA